rnacentral:rRNA from 1 species
CCUACGGGAGGCAGCAGUGGGGAAUAUUGGACAAUGGGGGCAACCCUGAUCCAGCCAUGCCGCGUGUGUGAAGAAGGCCCUCGGGUUGUAAAGCACUUUCAGUGAGGAAGAACGCCUGGUGGUUAAUACCCAUCAGGAAAGACAUCACUCACAGAAGAAGCACCGGCUAACUCCGUGCCAGCAGCCGCGGUAAUACGGAGGGUGGGAGCGUUAAUCGGAAUUACUGGGCGUAAAGCGCGCGUAGGUGGCUUGAUAAGCCGGUUGUGAAAGCCCCGGGCUCAACCUGGGAACGGCAUCCGGAACUGUCAAGCUAGAGUGCAGGAGAGGAAGGUAGAAUUCCCGGUGUAGCGGUGAAAUGCGUAGAGAUCGGGAGGAAUACCAGUGGCGAAGGCGGCCUUCUGGACUGGCACUGACACUGAGGUGCGAAAGCGUGGGUAGCAAACAGGAUUAGAUACCCUAGUAGUC